GUGCCAGCAGCCGCGGUAAUACGGGGGGGGCAAGCGUUGUUCGGAAUUACUGGGCGUAAAGGGCCAGUAGGCGGCCAACUAAGUCCGACGUGAAAUCCCAAGGCUUAACCUUGGAACUGCGUCGGAUACUGGAUGGCUUGAAUUCGGGAGAGGGAUGCAGAAUUCCAGGUGUAGCGGUGAAAUGCGUAGAUAUCUGGAGGAAUACCGGUGGCGAAGGCGGCAUCCUGGACCGACAUUGACGCUGAACGGCGAAAGCUAGGGGAGCAAACGGGAUUAGAAACCCCCGUAGUCC
rnacentral:rRNA from 1 species